AACCAUUAACCAUUAAGUGUUACAAUUAGCUUUUUGCUAUCUCUUUAUUUCUUUUUUCUUUUUUGACACAACUUAUGGUUGUCUCUUGAAUGCAAUAUUGGUGAAAUCCAACUUUUUUUAAUUGAGAAGAGGUUAUUAUUAAUUAACAUUAGUCUCUCAACUAUCUUUAACAACUAUAUGUUUGAUGCUAGCUUGUUUUGGACAUUGAUGCCAUAGACUUUGGAUAAUCCAUGUUAUAGAUUGUGCUUACGAAGUGUCUCGAUAACUAAUCUCUGCAUUAAUAUCAUAGUCAUUAGCUAACUUUAUGAAUCUGGAUUUGGUACAGUGGAAUUGUGUGUUUACUAAAGCUGAACAAAGCUGGGAGGGGUGGUGGUUGAAGAGCAGGUUUCAUCUUUUUGUUCUGAAUCUGUGCAAGUUGAAGAACAAGAAUGACAAG
rnacentral:lncRNA from 1 species